UACGUAGGUGGCAAGCGUUGUCCGGAAUCACUGGGCGUAAAGGGCGCGUAGGUGGCGCUGCAAGUCGGUGGUGAAAGCUCGAUGCUUAACAUCGAGUCGGCCAUCGAAACUGCAGGGCUCGAGCACUGUAGGGGCAGAUGGAAUUCCGGGUGUAGCGGUGGAAUGCGUAGAGAUCCGGAAGAACACCGGUGGCGAAGGCGGUCUGCUGGGCAGUUGCUGACACUGAGGCGCGACAGCGUGGGGAGCAAACAGG
rnacentral:rRNA from 1 species